AGUGAACGCUGGCGGUAGGCCUAACACAUGCAAGUCGAACGGCAGCACAGUAAGAGCUUGCUCUUACGGGUGGCGAGUGGCGGACGGGUGAGGAAUACAUCGGAAUCUACUUUUUCGUGGGGGAUAGCGUAGGGAAACUUACGCUAAUACCGCAUACGACCUACGGGUGAAAGCAGGGGAUCUUCGGACCUUGCGCGAUUGAAUGAGCCGACGUCGGAUUAGCUAGUUGGCGGGGUAACGGCCCACCAAGGCGACGAUCCGUAGCUGGGCUGAGAGGAUGAUGCGCGCCUCUGGGAGUGAGACACGGCCCAGACACCGAGGGGAGGCAGAAGUGGGUAAUAUUGGCAACUGUGCGCAAGCCUGCUCCAGGCAUGCCGGGUUGAUGCAGAAGGGCUUCGGGUUGUAAAGCCCUCUUCUUGUGAAAGACAAGUAGCAGCAUAAUACACCGCUCUUCUGACGGUACCCAAAGAAUAAGCACCGGCUAACUACGUG
rnacentral:rRNA from 1 species